GCCACAAUAAUACAACUGGUGAGUAUUCUCGUCUGUCACACAGGUGACCCGGGUUCCAUCCCGGCAAUGGCA
rnacentral:tRNA from 1 species